UGAACGCUAGCGACAGGCCUAACACAUGCAAGUCGAGGGGUAACAGGGAAGCUUGCUUCCGCUGACGACCGGCGCACGGGUGCGUAACGCGUAUGAAACCUGCCUUGUACUGGGGGAUAGCCCGAAGAAAUUCGGAUUAAUACCCCAUAACACUACAAAAUCGCAUGAUUUAGUAGUUAAAACUCCGGUGGUAUAAGAUGGUCAUGCGUGACAUUAGCUAGUUGGUAAGGUAACGGCUUACCAAGGCGACGAUGUCUAGGGGUUCUGAGAGGAAGGUCCCCCACACUGGUACUGAGACACGGACCAGACUCCUACGGGAGGCAGCAGUGAGGAAUAUUGGUCAAUGGACGCAAGUCUGAACCAGCCAUGUCGCGUGCAGGAAGACUGCCCUAUGGGUUGUAAACUGCUUUUAUACGGGAAGAAAUAUAGUUACGUGUAAUUAUUUGCCGGUACCGUAUGAAUAAGCAUCGGCUAACUCCGUGCCAGCAGCCGCGGUAAUACGGAGGAUGCGAGCGUUAUCCGGAUUCAUUGGGUUUAAAGGGUGCGUAGGCGGAAUAUUAAGUCAGGGGUGAAAGUUUGUGGCUCA
rnacentral:rRNA from 1 species